UGUCUGUCUGUCCGUCCCACUGGAUUUUGAGAGUAAAGGGAGAGAGAAGGCUCUAGUGUACUGCGCACACACUUGAGCACUAUAAAAUUAUUCCUGCCUA